GCAGUUUUUUAUUUCUUUCCGGAAUAUUUAGUUAUGUAUAUGGAGAAUUUAUUGCCAUAAAACAUUAUUGAUCUAUCAACCAUUAAGGUAACAGAAAAUAUUCAAUACGGAAUCAUCUAAAUUCGUUUAUUUUAUGUAAAUAAAUUAAUUGUACAGGUAAAUACAGAUAGAGAAAGAUGGCAGGUACGUACUGUAAACUUUCUACGUCGAAAUGUAAUUAAACAAAUACCCAGCCAAAGUAUGUUUGUUUUAGCCAAUCAUUAUAGACCAAACAGUGAGGCCUUACUGCUAUCUUGUUAAAAUAAUGUAUUAGAAAUUAUUUUUGACAAAAAUAUAGUCGCAGAGGAUAAUACGUCUUUGAAAAAACAUAAUUCUUAUAUAUUUUGGGAUUCUUCUCAUCAUAUUACACUAUAUUAUGAUGACUUGUUUGGAAACUAGGCGAUUGGUUUGAUUGUGUGGCUCUUAUUAUUGACAUUAAUGUAAAAGUAAAUAUAGUAUUUGUAUUAUAAGUGGAUAUAAUUAAUAAUUAUAUAAAGCGUCUUUAUAAUUGCGGCAUACCAGAUAAAGUCUUAACUUUACGAAGGAAUCACAUCAAGCUUAAGCCGACUAAUUACAAUUAAAUAGCUAUUUUAUUGGCCGUGGACCGUAUUGGUAUUGCAAUUAAGAACGUAUCAAACUACCGGACAUCGUCCGUUCAGAAGCCAAAAACCAUUCGGGUGUCAAAAAUAAAUUUCGUAUCCACGAUUUUCUAAUUAUAAUAAUGUGUGAGUGUAAGCAAUUUGCGUGGGCGAUUGGACAGAGUUGAAAAUAGACGUGUUGGCAUCGAAAGGUCUGCAGUCUGCUCUAUGAUAGUGGGAUGCCUUGUCUGUCACUAAGGUUAUUAUAAUAAUUUUAAUUUACAUUGUAGAUUAAUGCUGAUACAAGCUUAUAUUCAAGAUACGCUAAGAUCCCUGAACUUGCAUGAUUUAUGCACGGUGCGGGAUUUUGUAUGACCGGAAUGAUUGGACAAACUAACGAGGAGACUAAAUGAAAGUAAGCUAAAAAAUGGAGAUAAGAUCAGAUAUGGAUAAAUAGAAACCUAUAUUGAAACUCCAAGAUCACUUAA